rnacentral:rRNA from 1 species
CUCAAAGAUUAAGCCAUGCAUGUCUCAGUACAAGCCAAAUUAAGGUGAAACCGCGAAAGGCUCAUUAUAUCAGUUAUGGUUCCUUAGAUCGUACCCACAUUUACUUGGAUAACUGUGGUAAUUCUAGAGCUAAUACAUGCAAACAGAGUUCCGACCAGAGAUGGAAGGAAUGCUUUUAUUAGAUCAAAACCAAUCGAUGUUUCAUAUUUGUACAUUAAUUUGUAUUAUUUAUGUUGCAUCGUUCUUUUUGGUGACUCUGAAUAACUUUAAGCUGAUCGCACGGUCUCGUACCGGCGACGCAUCUUUCAAAUGUCUGCCUUAUCAACUGUCGAUGGUAGGUUUUGCGCCUACCAUGGUUGUAACGGGUAACGGGGAAUCAGGGUUCGAUUCCGGAGAGGGAGCCUGAGAAACGGCUACCACAUCCAAGGAAGGCAGCAGGCGCGCAAAUUACCCACUCCCGGCACGGGGAGGUAGUGACGAAAAAUAACGAUACGGGACUCAUCCGAGGCCCCGUAAUCGGAAUGAGUACACUUUAAAUCCUUUAACGAGGAUCCAUUAGAGAGGGCAAUUCUGGUGCCAACCGCCGCGGUAAUUCCAGCUCUAAUAGCGUAUAUUAAAGUUGUUGCGGUUAAAAAGCUCGUAGCCGAAUCUGUGUCUCACACUGUCGGUUCACCGCUCGCGGUGUUCAACUGGCAUGUUAUGUGAGACGUCCUACCGGUGGGUGGUGUAAAUUAUUGUUAUUAUCUUUGCCCCUGUAUAUUGUUGUAUGCACCAAUGUGUCUGUGUAUGACGUAUGUUAAUAUGCUGUUAUCAGUAUCGGCUAUAUGAAAAACGAUUAUAUUUCAUACACACACACAUUUAUUAGCUGGUGUAUGUGUGUGUGCGCGCAUUAUACAUAUGUUAAUAGCAUUUGUGUGUGCGUGUAUCACACUGCACCGGGCUGAUUUAUUGGCGUGUGGAAAAAUUAUUUUCCAAUUUUGAUAUGCGUCAGAUUUGAUAUACACGCAUAUAUAUACAUGCCCAUACGCCACUUGGAUUCAAAUGUAUAUUAUACGUAUAUGCAGUUGGGUGGAUAAUAUACAUCAAAUAAUUUGCCGUAAGUGUUUAGCCGUGAAGAACGGCGGCAGCCCCCAAUUGCAAUCCUGUCCGGUCCUCUUAAUUGAGUGUCGAGGUGGCCCGGUACGUUUACUUUGAGCAAAUUAGAGUGCUUAAGGCAGGCUAAAAUUUCGCCUGAAUAUUGUGUGCAUGGAAUAAUGGAAUAGGACCUCGGUUCUAUUUUGUUGGUUUUCGGAACUCCGAGGUAAUGAUUAAUACGGACAGAUGGGGGCAUUCGUAUUGCGACGUUAGAGGUGAAAUUCUUGGACCGUCGCAAGACGGACAGAAGCGAAAGCAUUUGCCAAAAAUGUUUUGAUUGAUCAAGAACGAAAGUUAGAGGUUCGAAGGCGAUCAGAUACCGCCCUAGUUCUAACCAUAAACGAUGCCAGCUAGCGAUCCGCCGAAGUUCUUCCGAUGACUCGGCGGGCAGCUUCCGGGAAACCAAAGCUUUUGGGUUCCGGGGGAAGUAUGGUUGCAAAGCUGAAACUUAAAGGAAUUGACGGAAGGGCACCACCAGGAGUGGAGCCUGCGGCUUAAUUUGACUCAACACGGGAAACCUCACCAGGCCCGGACACCGGAAGGAUUGACAGAUUGAGAGCUCUUUCUUGAUUCGGUGGGUGGUGGUGCAUGGCCGUUCUUAGUUGGUGGAGCGAUUUGUCUGGUUAAUUCCGAUAACGAACGAGACUCUAGCCUGCUAAAUAGACGUACCUUACCGGCAUCUCAAGGCCCAUCGGCUGUAAUGUACCGUUACGCUUGUUGCACACUUUUUAAUGUAUUAUAUUCUCAUUUCAUACAUACUGAUUUCAUUCAACUGGUACAUAUACUCGCACGUGUGCGCGCGCGCACUGUAUGUGUGUUCAUUCACUUGUGGGUGGCAUAUAUAUUGGUGUGUGUGUGUGUGUGUGUGUGUGUGGUGUAUAUAUAUUGGGGGGGUGGUGUGUGUGUAUGGGGUAUUUUAAAGUGGGUGUGUUUACACGUGCGGUCUACAGUUUUUUGAUGUGGUUUUACUGCCGGCGUACAUAUUAAUCUUCUUAGAGGGACAGGCGGUUUCUUAGCCGCACGAGAUUGAGCAAUAACAGGUCUGUGAUGCCCUUAGAUGUUUUGGGCCGCACGCGCGCUACACUGAAGGAAUCAGCGUGUCCUCCCUGGCCGAAAGGUCCGGGUAACCCGCUGAACCUCCUUCGUGCUAGGGAUUGGGGCUUGCAAUUGUUCCCCAUGAACGAGGAAUUCCCAGUAAGCGCGAGUCAUAAGCUCGCGUUGAUUACGUCCCUGCCCUUUGUACACACCGCCCGUCGCUACUACCGAUUGAAUGAUUUAGUGAGGCCUUCGGACUGGUACACGGCAAAGUGUUUCUGACAUUUACCGUAGUUGCUGGGAAGAUGGCCAAACUUGAUCAUUUAGAGGA